rnacentral:lncRNA from 1 species
UCAGGGGUUACUCAGAGGUUACUCAGAGGUCAGAGGUUACUCAGAGGUCACUCAGGGGUUACUCAAGGGUUACUCAGAGGUCAGGGGUUACUCAGGGGUUACUCAGGGGUUACUCAGGGGUUACUCCGCGCUCCCCCAGGGGCCGCAUCAGCCCGGGGGGCUCGGUCCGUCUGUCCGUCUACAUGACGCUCUACAGCAUCGCCCACAUCGCCCUGCUCACCUACGAGGCUCAGUUUUUCGACCCCGGGCAGGUGCUGUACACCUACGAGUCCCCGGCGGGGUACGGGCUGAUCGCGCUGCAGUUCGGAGCCUUCGUUUGGUUCUGCGCCGCCGUGGGCGCCACCCUGAGCGCGGUGCCGGAGAGACGCCAGUUCUACCUGCCCUUCCUGGGGGCUUAUGCGUUCUGGUGAGUGCCAAAAUCACACCUGGACACACCUGGGGACACCUGGGGACACCUGGGGGGGUCACAGCCACACCUGGGGCGCCACCCUGAGCGCGGUGCCGGAGCGACGCCAGUUCUACCUGCCCUUCCUGGGGGCUUAUGCGUUCUGGUGAGUGCCAAAAUCACACCUGAGCACACCUGGGACACACCUGGGGACACCUGGGGACACCUGGGGACACUUGGGGACACCUGGACACACCUGGGGACACCUGGGGACACCUGGGAUACACCUGGGGACACCUGGGGGGGAUAAAAACACACCUGGGCACACCUGAGAUACACCUGGGCACACCUGGGGACACCUGGACACACCUGGGGACACCUGGGGGGGUCACAGCCACACCUGGGCACACCUGAGAUACACCUGGGGGGAUAAAAACACACCUGGGGACACCUGAGACACACCUGGACACACCUGGGGACACCUGGGGGUUACCUGAGGACACCUGGAGGGGUUUGGGGACACACCUG